rnacentral:misc_RNA from 1 species
GUUAAUUAGUAAUAAUAUUUAAAAAGCAUAUUUAUAAUUAUUGUUCUUUUUAGUCAUUGUACUUGUAAUGACAUCUUAAAUAACAAUUUUAACCAAACAAAUUACAAACAACUUGUUAGAUUAACAGCACGUGUCUAUUUUAUCACCAAAAAGGUAAAACUGCUGUUUAUAAAACUGCAACAGCAGUUUUCAACAGCAAGUCAUUAUAGUAAUGUCAAACAGGCCCGUAGUAAGAGAUCUAUCAGGUGAGAGAAUGUUGAUGGGAUUUUGACUGUCUGGGUGAGUACUUGAGAAAUGAAGCUGGAUCUUGAGAGUCAAUUUUAAGCCAAACUGUAUGUUAUAGAUGUUGUGUUUUGAAAUGGGCAAGUAUUCGUAUUUAUUUUUGAUCCAGAGUAAAGGAUUUGUACUGAUUUAUCGGAUGCUGAUCUUUGUAUUCAAGCUUCCACUUUCUGGGAUUGUUUGCUUGUCGGUGUGAAAUACAGGGAGCCUCACAACUUUUUGUUGUAACUGUUAUGAGGCAUUUGGCUCCGCUUGUAUUCUAAUCUUCUCAAUAUUGACAAGGCGAUAUUCCAAGUCCCCCCUUUGUUUGGGUGAGGAAAUUAGAAAAUUU